rnacentral:rRNA from 1 species
AAGUUUGAUCAUGGCUACAGAACGAACGCUGGCGGCAUGCCUAACACAUGCAAGUCGAACGAGACCUUCGGGUCUAGUGGCGCACGGGUGCGUAACGCGUGGGAAUCUGCCCUUAGGUUCGGAAUAACUUCGGGAAACUGAAGCUAAUACCGGAUGAUGACGUAAGUCCAAAGAUUUAUCGCCUAAGGAUGAGCCCGCGUUGGAUUAGCUAGUUGGUGAGGUAAAGGCUCACCAAGGCGACGAUCCAUAGCUGGUCUGAGAGGAUGAUCAGCCACACUGGGACUGAGACACGGCCCAGACUCCUACGGGAGGCAGCAGUGGGGAAUAUUGGACAAUGGGCGAAAGCCUGAUCCAGCAAUGCCGCGUGAGUGAUGAAGGCCUUAGGGUUGUAAAGCUCUUUUACCCGGGAUGAUAAUGACAGUACCGGGAGAAUAAGCUCCGGCUAACUCCGUG